AACAGGAGUAUACUCUGAUGGGA
rnacentral:piRNA from 1 species